rnacentral:rRNA from 1 species
UACGGGGGGGGCAAGCGUUGUUCGGAAUUACUGGGCGUAAAGGGCGUGUAGGUGGUUUCGUAAGUCUGGCGUGAAAUAUCUCGGCUUAACCGAGGCAGGUCGUCGGAUACUGCGGAACUAGAGGACGGUAGAGGCGUGUGGAAUUCCGGGUGUAGUGGUGAAAUGCGUAGAUAUUGGGAGGAACACCGGUGGCGAAGGCGGCUACCUGGACCGGUUCUGACGCUGAUGCGCGAAAGCGUGGGUAGCAAACAGG